rnacentral:rRNA from 1 species
UAAUGUCUGGGAAACUGCCUGAUGGAGGGGGAUAACUGCUGGAAACGGUAGCUAAUACCGCAUAACGUCGCAAGACCAAAGUGGGGGACCUUCGGGCCUCAUGCCAUCAGAUGUGCCCAGAUGGGAUUAGCUAGUAGGUGGGGUAACGGCUCACCUAGGCGACGAUCCCUAGCUGGUCUGAGAGGAUGGCCAGCCACACUGGAACUGAGACACGGUCCAG